CCCAGCUUCCUCCUCAGGCAUAAUGACAAUACAACACCCAGCUUCCUCCUCAGGCAUAAUGACAAUACAACACCCAGCUUCCUCCUCAGGCAUAAUGACAAUACAACACCCAGCUUCCUCCUCAGGUAUAAUGACAAUACAACCCCCAGCUUCCUCCUCAGGCAUAAUGACAAUACAACACCCAGCUUCCUCCUCAGGCAUAAUGACAAUACAACCCCCAGCUUCCUCCUCAGGCAUAAUGACAAUACAACACCCAGCUUCCUUCUCAGGCAUAAUGACAAUACAACCACCAGCUUCCUCCUCUGGCAUAAUGACAAUACAACCCCCAGCCUCCUGGCUUCCUCCUCAGGCAUAAUGACAAUACAACCCCCAGCCUCCUGGCUUCCUCCUCAGGCAUAAUGACAAUACAACCCCCAGCUUCCUCCUCAGGUAUAAUGACAAUACAACCCCCAGCCUCCUGGCUUCCUCCUCAGGUAUAAUGACAAUACAACCCCCAGCCUCCUGGCUUCCUCCUCAGGUAUAAUGACAAUACAACCCCCAGCCUCCUGGCUUCCUCCUCAGGUAUAAUGACAAUACAACCCCCAGCCUCCUGGCUUCCUCCUCAGGCAUAAUGACAAUACAACCUCCAGCCUCCUGGCUUCCUCCUCAGGCAUAAUGACAAUACAACCCCCAGCCUCCUGGCUUCCUCCUCAGGCAUAAUGACAAUACAACCCCCAGCCUCCUGGCUUCC